rnacentral:rRNA from 1 species
GGGCUGUAAACCCAGAGGCGCAAUGAAAGUGAAGGUCUUGCCUUGCGCAGACCGAGGGAAGAUGGAGCGCGCGUCAGCACGUCUCCCGCAUUCCCGGGGCGUCUCGUUCUCAUAGCGAGUUGAGGCGCACCCAGAGCGUACACGUUGGGACCCGAAAGAUGGUGAACUAUGCCUGGCCAGGACGAAGUCAGGGGAAACCCUGAUGGAGGUCCGUAGCGAUUCUGACGUGCAAAUCGAUCGUCGGAGCUGGGUAUAGGGGCGAAAGACUAAUCGAACCAUCUAGUAGCUGGUU